UUAAGGUGNCAGAGCCGGUAAUUGCAUAAAAUUUAAGACUUUACUCUCAGAGGUUCA
rnacentral:tRNA from 1 species